GUAACGGCGAGUGAAGCGGCAACAGCUCAAAUUUGAAAUCUGGCCUCUCGGGGGUCCGAGUUGUAAUUUGUAGAGGAUGUUUCGGGUACCGCCUCGGUUUAAAUUUCUUGGAACAGAAUGUCAAAGAGGGUGAGAAUCCCGUCUUGGACCGGCGGUAGGGCCUAUGUGAAACUCCUUCGACGAGUCGAGUUGUUUGGGAAUGCAGCUCAAAAUGGGUGGUAAAUUUCAUCUAAAGCUAAAUAUUGGCCAGAGACCGAUAGCGCACAAGUAGAGUGAUCGAAAGAUGAAAAGCACUUUGAAAAGAGAGUUAAACAGUAUGUGAAAUUGUUGAAAGGGAAGCGCUUGCAACCAGACUUGAGCGCGGCGGUUCCCCCUUGCUUCUGCUUGGGUUACUCCGCCGUGUCCAGGCCAACAUCGGUUCUGGGGGUCGGUCAAAGGCCUUGGGAAUGUAUCUACCCACGGGUAGACUUAUAGACCAGGGUGUCAUGCGACCUCCCGGGACCGAGGAACGCGCUUCGGCUCGGAUGUUGGCGUAAUGGUUGUCAGCGACCCG
rnacentral:rRNA from 1 species